UACGUAGGGGGCAAGCGUUGUCCGGAUUUAUUGGGCGUAAAGAGCGUGUAGGCGGCCUGGUAGGUCAGCUGUGAAAACUCGAGCUCAACCUCGAGACGCCGGUGGAAACCAUCUAGCUAGAGUCCGGAAGAGGAGAGUGGAAUUCCUGGUGUAGCGGUGAAAUGCGCAGAUAUCAGGAAGAACACCCGUGGCGAAGGCGGCUCUCUGGGACGUGACUGACGCUGAGACGCGAAAGCGUGGGGAGCGAACAGG
rnacentral:rRNA from 1 species